rnacentral:rRNA from 1 species
UGAGGAAUCUUGGACAAUGGGGGAAACCCUGAUCCAGCGAUGCCGCGUGAAUGAAGAAGGCCUUCGGGUUGUAAAGUUCUUUCACUCGUGACGAUAAUGACGGUAGCGAGAAAAGAAGCUCCGGCUAACUCUGUGCCAGCAGCCGCGGUAAGACAGAGGGAGCUAGCGUUGUUCGGAAUGACUGGGCGUAAAGGGUGCGUAGGCGGUUAUUUAAGUAAGGUGUUAAAGCCCUGGGCUCAACCCAGGAAUUGCGCUUUAAACUGGGUGACUUGAGUGUGGCAGAGGAAAACGGAAUUCCUAGUGUAGAGGUGAAAUUCGUAGAUAUUAGGAGGAACACCAGAGGCGAAGGCGGUUUUCUGGGCCAUUACUGACGCUGAGGCACGAAAGCGUGGGGAGCAAACAGG